GGCUGCCUUAGGUCACAAGCAAGAACUGCUAGCAGAACAGAAACUUGGCUGAAAAAAAAAAAAGUUUCUGAAGCUGCUGAGUGAACCUUGCGUCUUUGAAUGCAGCCACUUCCCUUACUGUGAUCUCCAAGAGGCAAUGGGCAAUUUCUGCGCUGUCUUUGGAGCAACAUUCUCAAGGCCAGGCCACUGGACAGAACUGGAAGGUGGAUCAUUCGGGGACUUCUUAUGGGAGAACCUUUGUGAGGCAGUCAGUCGAUCAACAGAUGCUUUCCGAGCGCCUCUAGGGUGCGGUGGAACGCGGCAAUCUGGAAGGACGCUUCAGAACCGGUUGGGGCCCACGGAGGUCUGAGCACCCACCCCUCUAGACCCUGAGUUCCAUGAGGAGAGAAGUGUCUCCUUCCCCAGUGAUACCCCAGAGCCCAGCGGAGAACACAUGAAACAUAAUCAAUAAUGGAUCCAAUAAAUGAGAUUCCGCAGUGUCCUGCCAAGUGCACUCUGUCUUACGUGCCCUGGCAUCUGGGAACCUUUCAGAACCAGCCCUCUGUGCUUUAGGCCGGUUCUGCCUCUGAGCCAUGUGGACCCUCUCGCCUCAAGGAGUGACUCCUCCAUCCACCCUGCAGUCCAAAGGAAGACGAGAAGUGCAGAAAGCAACAGCCCAGCCUUGUCUCAGCAUUUUGAACCUUAGGACUUUUCCCUUGGCUUAGCCAGGGGGGCCCUGACCUGAUCAGCAGGUGACCUUGAACUGGAGACCUCUUUGAAGCCUAUUUUCUGUAGAGGGAAAGAGAAAGAGAGGGCAAGGGAGACUUGUAUGAAUUGAUCAAACAUGAAUUGAAAAAUAACUUCAGAGGACCUGAAGCCCAGGACUCAAGGAGGUGGGACAAGGGAAC
rnacentral:lncRNA from 1 species